GGCAGCCAUUAAACGAAAACCGGGGCAUCGUCAACACGGAAGGAAUUAAAGGUCCCUAGAGAGUAGUGAAGCCAGGGAAGAGGAUCAAAGGCUGAGUCCUGAGGCAAGCUCAUGUUUCAAGAUCAGACAAAUUCUAAGGAACCAGCAGCCAACUGAAGAAAGUAUCUUCAGGGAAAAGAACACUAGUGAGGGGUUAAGAUGAGGAUCAGGAACCGACCAGAUAAGAUAUUACAGUAUGCUUGAACAUUGAAGGAAAGAAUCCAAGACAAAAAAGGCAACACUUCUUCCUGAGGACCCAGGCCCUGAAGGUGCAGCCACUAUCAGAUUUGACCACAUGGAACAAACAUGAGGAUGAAGCCAGUCUACUGAGGAGCUGAACAGGAAGAAAGGGAGAGCUGGAGUCUCUGAUGGCACAAGUCCUGAACUGCCUAUCUGUGAGUUCUAGUUACAUGAGCCAAAUAAACUUCUGGUUCUGCCA
rnacentral:lncRNA from 1 species